rnacentral:rRNA from 1 species
GAUACCCGCUGAACUUAAGCAUAUCAAUAAGCGGAGGAAAAGAAACCAACCGGGAUUGCCUCAGUAACGGCGAGUGAAGCGGCAAGAGCUCAAAUUUGAAAUCUGGCCCCCUCGGGGUCCGAGUUGUAAUUUGCAGAGGAUGCUUCGGGUGCGGCCCCCGUCUAAGUGCCCUGGAACGGGCCGUCAUAGAGGGUGAGAAUCCCGUCUGGGACGGGGUGUCCGCGUCCGUGUGAAGCUCCUUCGACGAGUCGAGUUGUUUGGGAAUGCAGCUCUAAAUGGGUGGUAAAUUUCAUCUAAAGCUAAAUACUGGCCGGAGACCGAUAGCGCACAAGUAGAGUGAUCGAAAGAUGAAAAGCACUUUGAAAAGAGAGUUAAAAAGCACGUGAAAUUGUUGAAAGGGAAGCGCUUGCGACCAGACUCGCCCGCGGGGUUCAGCCGGCAUUCGUGCCGGUGUACUUCCCCGUGGGCGGGCCAGCGUCGGUUUGGGCGGCAGGUCAAAGGCCCCCGGAAUGUAGUGCCCUUCGGGGCACCUUAUAGCCGGGGGUGCAAUGCUGCCAGCCUGGACCGAGGAACGCGCUUCGGCACGGACGCUGGCAUAAUGGUUGUAAACGACC